UACGAAGGGGGCUAGCGUUGUUCGGAAUUACUGGGCGUAAAGCGCGUGUAGGCGGGUCCUUAAGUCAGGGGUGAAAUGCCGAGGCUCAACCUCGGAACUGCCUUUGAUACUGGGGAGCUUGAGUGCGGGAGAGGUGAGUGGAACUGCGAGUGUAGAGGUGAAAUUCGUAGAUAUUCGCAAGAACACCAGUGGCGAAGGCGGCUCACUGGCCCGGAACUGACGCUGAGACGCGAAAGCGUGGGGAGCAAACAGG
rnacentral:rRNA from 1 species